GGGGCCCAUAUCAGAUAUCAUAUAUAGACUUUAUAGCAAACAUGAUUUUCUUUUUCAAAAAUUCAUUGCAAAAGGUUCAUCUUCACCGCAAAUAAUGAGAAUCGACACAAAUGAUGGAUAACUAUAAUAUGGAGUGCAGCAUCAAUGCGAUUGAAGUAAAAAGCAUUUUUUUCAUAACUGUAUUUUUUUAUUCUUUGGCAUCAAUUGAAUUCUUGAUAUUAAAGUCUCAGUUCAAGUCUUAAUAUUGAUACAUAUCUUAUUGCCUGUUUUGUCAAUGAAACUGUAGGUCAGUGAUAGAUCAAUCAGAAAAGUAGAUAUCCCUACAAAAUAA
rnacentral:misc_RNA from 1 species